GACGAACGCUGGCGGCGUGCUUAACACAUGCAAGUCGAACGGAAAGGCCCUGCUUUUGUGGGGUGCUCGAGUGGCGAACGGGUGCGUAACACGUGAGUAACCUGCCCUUGACUUUGGGAUAACUUCAGGAAACUGGGGCUAAUCCCGGAUAGGAGCUCCUGCUGCAUGGUGGGGGUUGGAAAGUCUCGGCGGUUGGGGAUGGACUCGCGGCUUAUCAGCUUGUUGGUGGGGUAGUGGCUUACCAAGGCUUUGACGGGUAGCCGGCCUGAGAGGGUGACCGGCGACAUUGGGACUGAGGUACGGCCCAGACUCCUACGGGGGGCAGCAGUGGGGAAUAUUGCACAAUGGGCGGAAGCCUGAUGCAGCAGCGCCGCGUGCGGGAUGACGGCCUUCGGGUUGUAAACCGCUUUCGCCUGUGACGAAGCGUGAGUGACGGUAAUGGGUAAAGAAGCACCGGCUAACUACGUG
rnacentral:rRNA from 1 species